AGUCAGUUCAUAUGAGUAGACAGAUAUAAUAUUAUGCAUAAAGGAAGAACUGAAUAGUUUUAUAGGAAAAAAAACAAUUACAAAAUAAUGGGCUCAGUUUAUUGUAAUUACUCUAGAAUGAGAUAUUGGAGUAUGAUAGUUCUCAAAAAAAAUUCAGGUCAACAGCAGUAAGAAAAACAGAUUAUAAAUUACUGUGAGAUAACAAAAUGUUACUUUGUCACUGCUGGAAUCCAUGGUGUGUCUACAUCUUGAACACUGAAAUUCUGACAUCCCUUAAAAAUGUGGUAAAACUGAAAGAAACUCAGAGAAGGGCAACAAAGAUGAAAGCAAAUAUACAGUGAUUUCUCUACAAAGAAAGACUAAAAGGACUUCGACUCUUCAGAUUUGAGAUGAGACAUCUGGGCAGUAACUUGAGAGAGAUCCACAAAACUAUGAGCGCCAAGGGGAGAGAAGCUAUAGAAUAAUUGUUUGCUCUUUUCUAAUAAAACAAGGUUUCAUUAAAUGAAAUUAAAAGACAGUAAAUUCAAAACAAACAGGUAGAUACACUUCUUUGGGCAAUUAAAAUUGAACUAUGACCAUGAGAUACUGUAGAUGCUGGAAAUUAUCAUGGUUAAAAAUAACUGCACAUAAAAAUGGAAGAAGAAAUCACUGAGUGCUGUAAAAUAAAAAAGGCCAUUUCUACAUCUGAAAGUCUCUAAGCUGCAAUUAUUUUGAGGCGGGAGAGUAUUCUGAGCAAGUAAUUUAUGCUUCCUUGGCUCUUAUAACCUUUUUGAGAUGGUUGUUACUGCUUACUGUGAGAGGCUGGCUGUUGGUCAUAAACCUUUGGUCUGAGCUGCAAUAGCUCUUCUCAUGCUACUCCGCUAUUUUUCACUUUGUGUGAAUUAAUUACAUCUUUGGAGAGAGAUCAGUAGAAUGAGGCUGCGUACCAAAACCUUCAUAUGAUUCAGUCACAGAACAGUGGCCAAGGGACUGAGGAGCUGAAGAAAAACCACAAGCUGUUACAGCUCCAUUAAUUCCAUCUUCUAGGAACGGAACUGUUCUAUCCCCCUGCACUGGAGCCAUCAGGUUCUUGGGGUUUUGCCUCUAGUUGGGCUACCACCUUUACGUGUCAGUGCCCAAGCUUCCAGGUACUGUUUUAAGUUCAUGCUGACCUUGCGGAAGCUAGUUACUUUAAAUAUUCUCCAUUCAGGAGAGGCUUUAAGGAAGGUUGUUCAUAAUUUUAAUGCUUUGAAUUUUACUACUUUUCAUUCUGUGAAUUGCUUAUACAGCUUCUUUGUUUUUUAAAUGUUUAGGCAUCAACAGGCUUGCAGUUACUUAUUUUAUAACCUUGAUCUUUUGAUUCAGCUGUGUGUGUUUGCAGAUGUUCACAAUUAGAAACGAGAUUGUAAUUAGGUAAGCUCCUUGGGACUGGCAAACUACUUUUUCUUUGUCUUUCUGAAAGAAAAAAAUCAGACUGCAGAAAAUUGUAACUGAAAUAAACUGGUCUUUAUUCUUUGCUGUAAUUACCGUAGUGUAAUUCUCAACACAGGGGGGAAUUUUCUAUUAAUAGGAUUUCUUUAUAAU